rnacentral:rRNA from 1 species
AUUCGUAGAGAUCGGGAGGAAUACCAGUGGCGAAGGCGCCCUUCUGGACGGUUACUGACGCUGAGACGCGAAAGCGUGGGGAGCAAACAGGAUUAGAUACCCUGGUAGUCCACACUGUAAACGAUGAUCACUAGGUGUAGCGGGUACCCA